GAUGAACGCUGGCGGCGUGCCUACUACAUGCAAGUCGAGCGAACAGAUGAGGAGCUUGCUCCUCUGACGUUAGCGGCGGACGGGUGAGUAACACGUGGAUAACCUACCUAUAAGACUGGGAUAACUUCGGGAAACCGGAGCUAAUACCGGAUAAUAUAUUGAACCGCAUGGUUCAAUAGUGAAAGACGGUUUUGCUGUCACUUAUAGAUGGAUCCGCGCCGCAUUAGCUAGUUGGUAAGGUAACGGCUUACCAAGGCAACGAUGCGUAGCCGACCUGAGAGGGUGAUCGGCCACACUGGAACUGAGACACGGUCCAGACUCCUACGGGAGGCAGCAGUAGGAAAUCUUCCGCAAUGGGCGAAAGCCUGACGGAGCAACGCCGCGUGAGUGAUGAAGGUCUUCGGAUCGUAAAACUCUGUUAUUAGGGAAGAACAAAUGUGUAAGUAACUAUGCACGUCUUGACGGUACCUAAUCAGAAAGCCACGGCUAACUACGUG
rnacentral:rRNA from 1 species